AAUACAUGCAAGUCGUGGGGCAGCAGGUCCCGAGCAAUCGGGACGCUGGCGACCGGCAAACGGGUGCGUAACGCGUACACAACAUACCUUUAAGUGGGGGAUAGCAUUGGGAAACUGGUGGUAAUACCCCAUAAUACUAUUGGGAGGCAUUUUCUGAUAGUUAAAGCUACGGUGCUUAGAGAUUGGUGUGCGUCCGAUUAGCUAGUUGGUAGGGUAACGGCCUACCAAGGCGACGAUCGGUAGGGGGUGUGAGAGCAUGACCCCCCACACGGGUACUGAGACACGGACCCGACUCCUACGGGAGGCAGCAGUAAGGAAUAUUGGACAAUGGAGGGAACUCUGAUCCAGCCAUGCCGCGUGAAGGAUGAAGGCGCUCAGCGUUGUAAACUUCUUUUGGAUGGGAACAAUAACUUCUACGUGUAGGAGCUUGAGGGUACCAUCAGAAUAAGCACCGGCUAACUCCGUGCCAGCCGCCGCCGUAACAC
rnacentral:rRNA from 1 species